CAGAACUGUGUUGGGCGGCCAAAAUUUUUGUUCAAAAUUUGAAUCGCCACUCAUUCCCAUUUCCCCAUACAUCCUGUCAUUUCAUUUUCUUGCAUUCAAAUUUUGAAUUCCAUUUUCUCAUCCCAAGAAACUCAUUAUCUUCCUACCUUCUUUCAUUUCAACUGCAGAGAGAGAGAGAGAACGAGAUGCUAGAGAGAGGGCGAGAGAGCGAGAGAAUCAGUGGCUUCCAUUCCGACGACGGUGGUUCACGAGGGUUUUGCAACCACGAGUUCAACAGGUGACGAUGGUGGAUGGUCCAGUAACAAUUGCAAACCCGACGAUGAGGAUAGACUUCCGGCAAACACACCAGUGAGGAUAGAGAGACGAUGACCUCUUUGAAUCUUCGACGGCUACAAGUUAGUCUACCAGCGACCACACCUACGAAGGUACCAGAUCUAACGGAUCUGGUCUUCAACGGCUACAAGUUAGUCUACCUAGACCCGGCCAAGAGCCGGUUGAUGCUCUCUUCUUAGCGAGACGAGAAUUGUCACAACUUCCGUGGAUGCUCUCUUCUUCAUGAUGCGUUACAAUCAAUCGAUCUCAAAUUCAGAUUCACAAUCUCCAACAGAAAUCAAAUCCAAUGGAGAAUACGGUUCAAGAGGUUUGCGAUUCAAUCAUUUCACUUCAUACAAAGGUUACUAACAAUCGCAGACCUAAUUUUUGGUUUCAAUGAUGAAGUUAGGGCACUUUCGAAUAUGGAUCUAGACUGUAAUGAGUUCGUUUUUUCAUGAUUGAUGAUGAAGUUAAGAAAAAUAAUUGCUGCAAAAGCCAUUUAUACAUAUUAGUGGAAGGUGAUGUAUAGAACUGUAAGCUAAACUAAGGUACUGGUUGCUUGUUCUUCGAUUUUGAACCGUAUAAUUUUCAGUUCAGAUUCUGUUUCAUGUCAACUGAACCCUAGAUUUUUCUCAUCUGGUAUGAUUGACUUGCAAAAGCAGGUCUCAAAACAUUGAUUAAUUGUAUGCUUAUGAUUUUUGAAAAUAAAGUGGACCUUUGGCCGUAAAUGAUAAGAUUAGUUGUCCGUUUUUUGUGUUUUUGAUAAUGUUUUGUGAACUCAGAUCUGUGUUGGCAUUAUCAGAAGUAAAACAUUACGACCUCAAUUUUGGUUUCCAAGGUUCUUUGUUGAUUAUGUUAUGCAAAUGGAUUAGCCUUCUGGUUCGGAUUUGGAUUACUUAUUCAAGCUGUUGGUGAUUGGGGAUUCAGGAUAUGGUAAAAGCUCUCUUCUUUUGAGUUUUACUUCUGAUAAUGCCAUUGAAGACCUUUCUCCUACAAUUGUUAAAAGGUGCACUUACGGAUGAUAUAUUUUCAGAUAUUAUGGAAGCUUGAACUAACAUCAGAGGAGAUGGGGAUUGAUAUGAUGAGGAAAAUGACAACAGGUGACGGUGAUCGGUCUACAGGGUUGAAGCAUGGCCCCAACCAUCUUCCUACCGAUGUACAUGGAUUAUACAAUGUGGUUUUUUGAAUGGUGUUAAGGCUGCAAAAAUUUUAAAACUUAUAAGAAACCUAAAACAAUAGCAUCAGCAUUUGCUCGGAUAAGCUCAGAUUCCUCAUCAUUUGCUCCAAUUGGAGCUCAGGUUACCUUUCCGGAUCUGGUAAAUCAUAUUAUGGUACCAGUACCGAAAAAUGAGGAAAAUGGGAAUCGGUACCGGUACCAAAUAUACCCAGUACGAUUCAGUACAGGUACCGGUACCCGGUACCAAAUGCUCAUCCCUACUCGCUUUAGUGGGAUUUAAUCAUCUUCAUUGUCAAAAAGCUGCAAUCGACACUUCAAAUGUGGAGGUGGAAGAGGCGAUAAACUGGUUGCUUUCCCAGAUGGAUGAUCCAGGUUUUUAUUUGUUUAUUUACAAAAUUCAUUUGUUGUACUUAAUUAAGAAUAAGCGAUAUUCUGAUGGGCUUAAAUAUCAAUUUAGACAUUGAUUCUCCCAUUCAUAAGGUGGCAAAAAACAAGGUUGAUCCAUCAAAAGUCACUACACUAGGUGGUGAUUUUGACCUCUUUACUUAUUGGUGGGUCAAUUCAGAUACCCGUUUAUCUCUUUACCAUGGCCUGGUGAAAUGAAAAGAUUUAGCUAAAAUGAAAACGUGUCAAACGGGCCUCCUAUGUUGUUUAUUUUUGAAAUUAGAUUGCUAUUGUGAUAACAUAGUUUCUGUAAUCAUAUUUAUAGCAUCUACUCCUUGUAAGAAAUGAAAAAUCAUGUUUGUAGAACAUUCCAACCCCGGACACGUCCGAUCUGUCAACUUAGCCGGUAGCCACAAUAUAUAAAUUUGUUUAUUUGUUGCUAUAAUUCUUAGACAAGUUUUUCACUAAUGUUGUAUUUUAAUCGGCAAGUUCUGAUAUUCAAGAGCAGCACUUUCUACCAUAUUAUCCCACCAAUUAGCACAACGGGUCAAAGUUGCCCAAACAAUUUUUUGUGUGUCAACUUCCUAAGUGUUAUUAAUGGUAACAACAUAGUUUUGUAUUUGUAGUUGGCACAUUAGUUGCCUUUAAAGAUUUUAAAAAGUGCUUCAGGUAAACUUGGUCGUUUUUAACCUGCACUAAAAGUUUCCAUUGAACAGGGUGUCAACUGGCAAUCUGGAAAGAAAUUGGAAGAUGUCUCGGAAUGGAACCAACAUGUAUCCUUCCCCAACUUUGCUCGGUCAAAAUAAAGACGAGUCAGUUGCCGUUUUACCCAUUGAUUAACUCAUUGAAAAAAGCCUAUGCUUUUGCGGGUGUUUUCUCAGUGGACCUUCAAGGCACUUAUGGACUCCUACAAGACCUGUGAUGACGAUGUACUGAUAAAA